rnacentral:lncRNA from 1 species
AUCGAAGUAAAAACGAAACCCCUUCAUGGCUUCACUUCAUCUCUUUCCUCACCUUCACCAUUUUGAUCCAACCAUACAUCGCAGGGAGAUAGUAGCUCACACCCGGAAGCAAUUCCUAUCUCCGAGAGCUUCGAUUAAUGGCGGUAACACAAACGGAGCCGCAGCGGCGGAAACCGCUAAGCCUAGUCGCAAGGGGAGGAAGAAGAAGGAAAACUUGACGGUUACUAGUAUCGAGACGAAUCCUGAUUCGGAUCCUGAUUUAGUGGAUUACGACGACGGGAUGGACUUUCCGUACGACGACCCGCCUCUCGUCUGCUGCUUCGGAGCCGUGCAGAAGGAGUUCGUUCCUGUGGUGCGAGUCCACGAUAACCCGAUGCACCCCGACAUUUACUCCCAGUGGAAGAUGCUGCAGUGGGAUCCGCCGGAGUUCGGGCGGGCUCCGGGAGGUCCGCCGUCUAACGUGGCGAUCUCGCAUGUUCGGUUGGGCGGUAGAGCUGCGUUCAUGGGGAAGGUCGGUGAAGAUGAUUACGGGGAAGAGCUUGUUUUGAUGAUGAACAAGGAGAGAGUUCAGACGAGGGCUGUGAAGUUCGAUGAGGGUGCGAGUACUGCGUGUACUCGCGUUAAGAUUAAGUUUGAGGAUGGGAAGAUGAAGGCGGAGACGGUUAAGGAGCCGCCUGAGGACUCGCUUCUUGCUUCGGAGUUGAACUUAGCCGUGCUGAAAGAGGUAAAGUCUUUCAUUUUAUGGUUUAGGAUGAACACAGUUUGGCUUUUUAAGCUGUUUUCUACAAUGCCAUGAUAGGUUGAGCAUGAUGAGUCAUACGAUGUGUCAUGGCUAUUAAGCUGUUUUGUUUACUUCUGCUUUAUUACAAUGCAGGCGAGGAUCUUCCAUUUCAAUUCAGAAGUGUUGACGUCACCCACAAUGCAAUCAACUCUAUUCAAGGCAAUACAAUGGUCCAAGAAGUUCGGAGGGCUUAUUUUCUUUGACUUGAAUCUUCCGUUACCGUUAUGGAGAUCACGGAACGAGACUCGGAAGCUGAUCAAGAAAGCAUGGGACACAGCCAACAUCAUAGAAGUUUCGCAGCAAGAGCUUGAGUUUCUACUCGAUGAAGAGUACUACGAGAGGAGAAGAAACUACACACCGCAAUACUUUGCUGAGGAUUUCGAGCAGACUAAGAACCGGAGAGACUAUUACCAUUACACACCUGAGGAAAUCAAGCCGUUAUGGCACGACAAUCUGAAGCUGUUGGUUGUGACUGAUGGAACGCUACGGCUUCAUUACUAUACUCCCAAGUUUGAUGGUGUUGUGGUUGGGACGGAAGAUGUGCUUAUAACUCCUUUCACUUGCGAUAGAACGGGUUCUGGUGAUGCUGUUGUUGCAGGCAUUAUGAGGAAGCUGACAACUUGUCCUGAGAUGUUCGAGGACCAAGAUGUGUUGGAGAGACAGCUCCGGUUCGCAGUCGCUGCUGGGAUCAUAUCGCAGUGGACGAUUGGUGCGGUUAGAGGCUUCCCAACUGAAAGCGCGACACAGAAUUUGAAAGAGCAGGUUUAUGUUCCAUCAAUGUGGUAGUUAGAAAGACCGAGAACUGAGCUUCUUAAACUAAAUGUUUUUGAACAAUGUGAGAUGUAUACUGAUUUCACAACUGUAAUCCAAUGUACAAUCAUUUUUUUGUGUGUUCACUGAUAACAACAAUGUGAGAGGGUGGUGAGAACAUGAUACCCUAUGAAACUUAUGUUUGGUUAAGAGACAAAAAAUGCUGUAGCUUAUCCAAGUCUUGAUGCUCUUUCUGUAAGGACAAUCGAUUCUACAAGCUGUCUGAGCAGAACUCGGGUUACCUCCUUUCCUAUGUUGUACAAAAACGCUAUAAACUCGAUGAAAGUUGUUCUCUGUCGUGAUCCUGCAGUGUUUGACGUGAGAUUCUCGACUGUUUCUGAUAACUGUAUCAACACUAUCUUAAGGCACUCUUCUUCCAUGUCUUUGUCUCCGUUCUAAGACUUGAUUUUUUCCCAGAGCUGCGAGAAUAAGACUUGUUACAGAUGCAAUCAGGUUGUGGGUUCGCAUAGAAAUUCUCCUCUAGCCUGGGAAGUGCAGCAGGCUGUCUCGCAUAUGGCGCUCCAGUCCUGUCUCUGUUUAGUCGCUUAACCUCUGAAGCAAACUCUUCCCAAGAUAUGAAACCAUCAUCUAAAUGAUCUAUCAGUCUAACAAAAUUCAACCUGAAAUAAACACAGAACAAAUCAGCAAACAAGCAGUGAAUGAAUUAUAUUUCAUGUUAACAUAUACCUGUCUGGAUUUAUAGAUUUCCUAAAUCCUUCAAACCUUCUGUGCCCUUGUACCGCCUUAGCCAUGUUUCCAUCAUACGUAUACACAAAAACAUCGCUUUCAAGGGCCACAAUGUAGUCCAACGCAGCAAGCCGGUUCUGGUAUGGACUGAAAGGCUCCAACUCUUCUUCAGUUGCAAGAGUUGAAUGAGAGAAGACAUUUGGGUACUCCGCGCAGAAAGCAUCCAUACUCUUGCUUCCAUAGAUUUCACCAGCAACUAUAUAUACAGUUGUGGAGGAUGGAUAUCCCAUUGCCUUUAGAAAUAUGGCUGCUUCUCGCGGAGACAUAGGACAUCCGCCUUCAAUCCGUCUCUCUAUGCUAUCGAUCUCUUUCUCCUUCCAGUGUUUGACAUUGUACCUCAUGAUUCUCAGGUCUUCGGCUUCCUCAGAUGUAAGAUUGUGGCUGCAACCUGUAAAGGCAAGCAUGUCCUUCUCGUAUCUGCAAAUUUAAAACAUUUGACUCAAAACCAAGAUCCAGAUAAUAUCCCUUGCUGAUUAAAAAAAAGAAAAAAAUGCUGGAUUUACCUCAAAUGCAGAGCGAUAUACGGCUCACUGUUAUUUCUUAAACGGUUAACCAAUACAUUUCCCAGGUCCUCGAUCUCCUUCGUGUACGCCAGUGCCUUGUAAUUAGCACGACAUCUCAGUCUUUGGAUCGAUGGUGGCAAGCCGCCGGAACCGAGGGAAGUAAUCUUCGUCAUCUUCUUAUAAAGCACCGAAUAGAAAAAAAAACACGGUUCGGGUUUUUUCACAGGUUGACCCGGUUUGAUAAGAACCCGGGUCAGGACCCGAUAUGAUUUUUUUUUUAUUUUCAUUUUGAAAGAGGAAGAAGAUUUGGAUAAACCCUGGGCACAUCGAAGUAAAAACGAAACCCCUUCAUGGCUUCACUUCAUCUCUUUCCUCACCUUCACCAUUUUGAUCCAACCAUACAUCGCAGGGAGAUAGUAGCUCACACCCGGAAGCAAUUCCUAUCUCCGAGAGCUUCGAUUAAUGGCGGUAACACAAACGGAGCCGCAGCGGCGGAAACCGCUAAGCCUAGUCGCAAGGGGAGG